GUCUUAACUGACUACGUUUUUUGAGUCAAGACACCCUGUUGGAUGCGUAGCUAGUCCCUGGCUCUGUC
rnacentral:misc_RNA from 1 species